UUUUGACGUUUAUAUAACUCGAAAUAAACCUUCUUGGUGUCAGAUCUGACCUGGACUUGCACCAUACAAGAUGUCCAAACUACCAAUAAUUUGUAUUUUGUUGAUGAUCAUUUUCAUCAGUGUUGAAGUAGACGGCCACAGAAGAGGCGGAAGAAAAAACGGAAAAGGAAAAUAAACUGGGACAGCAGUUAGUGAGAGUAGCGACAGUACUGCAGCUAAAAAAAAGUAACA